CUUCUCUCUGUAGCUCUGGUAGAGAUCUAAUUCCCUAACUUGUUAGCAGAAAGAGAACUUCCGGUGUGAAAGCUACCUGAAACAGACUCCCGACUAUACAGAAGUUGAUUCUGUAUCUCUGUAUGAGUUGGACCAUCAACUGUGGCUGGUAUUGCACUUUUAUUGUUCAACAAUUACAACCUAUUGGUGUGUGGGCCAUACGCAAUUAUGCUGUUCACAGCAGGGCUGGUCGCAGAACAAGCCCCCUGCAGACUCAGCGAGGGGAACAGACAGAGACAGGCUCCUGAAAGCACAUUCGCCAUGAAGGUUUAGAGAUGAGCUGAGAGGGGGCUGGCCCAGCCUUUAGGGAGGAACGUAAAAGAGGAAGGGGAGAAGCAGACUGAAAGAGAAGACUACCUCAACGCCACCAAGCCAAGCUUGCGAGUAAAGGCUGCAUAACUGUUUUAGAAAAGGACAAGGAAAAACUCCUCUGAUCCUUAACCAUCAGACAAGUUUGAAUCCUAGCUACAUCACUACUAGCUGUGUGACCUUGGGCAAGUUUCUUUACCCCUCUGGGCCCCACUC
rnacentral:lncRNA from 1 species